CACCAUCCCUUCCUAAGCACGACUUCCUGGUCAUCUGGGGGGCGAACCUCAUUACAUUCCAGCAUCAUCAAGGAGCAAACGUCACAAUGUGACUCCCGAGAGGGCCCCUGGCCCUGUGGGAGGGAGCGGAGUAUUAUACAGCCGUGAAAAGGAAGCAAGCACCAGCCACGUGACAGCACGAAUGACCCUCGCAAACCGUAUGCUGAGUGAAAGCAGCCAGACACAGGGGCCCAUCGGCGUGAUUCCGUCCAGAGCAGAGUCCAGACACGUUGAUUUCACAUGGUGUGAUUUUUAUCUCCAUUUUUUAAAAGAAGUUCCGAUCUGAAGCCCCUCCUCCAACUGAUGCUGGGGGCCCACAGCUUCCAGAAAACCCUCGACGUGGACACCCCUGAGGACGAGCACCCCCUGGAAACCCUCUUCGCACUGUUCGUGACUCUUAGGAUGGCGGUGCUCCUGACAAAUUUCUGGAUUCAUUAUCUACUGCCUGUCGAAGCCGCAAACCAUCACCGGGACAAUCAAAUCCCAGAUGCUUUUAUCACUCGCCAACUGCACAAGUUCGAUGUGGGCAGAGGACU